UAUCUCUGUAGAGUCUGCAUAUCAAUAAGCGGAGGAAAAGAAACUAACAAGGAUUCCCUUAGUAACGGCGAGUGAAGCGGGAAGAGCUCAAAUUUGAAAUCUUCAAGGUUCUACCUUGACGAAUUGUAGUUUAAAGAAGUGUUUUCUGUUAGAUGAGUAGCAAAAGUUCCUUGGAAUGGGACAUCAUAGAGGGUCGAGAAUCCCGUAUUUGGUUAUUCAUUCUAGCUUUGUGAUACACUUUCAAAGAGUCGGAUUGUUUGGGAAUGCAGUCCAAAAUGGGUGGUAAAUUUCAUCUAAAGCUAAAUAUUGGCGAGAGACCGAUAGCGAACAAGUACCGUGAGGGAAGGAUGAAAAGAACUUUGAAAAGAGAGUUAAACAGUACGUGUAAUUGUCAAAAGGGAAGCGUUUGACACCAGUGUUGUUUUUCCGAAAAUCAAUUACGAAUGGCUUGAUUUUGUGUUGUAUUGACCUUAUCAGCUUUCUUCACUUUUUUCGAGUCUUUCUUAAUGCACUUUUCGGUUAACAAGUCAACAUCAAUUUCUUUUGUUGUAAAAGAGUAUUCGGAAGUGGCUUUCUUUUCGGAGAAAGUGUUUAUAGCCCUAUACUUCUACAAUCGGAGAGAUUGAGGUCUGCAGCGUAGAUCCUUCGGGGUUAGAUACACUUGUGCUAAGUUGUAGCUUUUCAUAGACAACUUGUUGACUAUGUUUAGUCAUGCGGCUUACUCGCUUGUGCUAUUUUACCUACGCUUAGGAUGUUGACUGAUAUGUAGUCGUA
rnacentral:rRNA from 1 species